rnacentral:lncRNA from 1 species
ACGUGAGCCACCACGCCCGGCCAUAAGUGCUUCUUUAUUAGCCUAUUAAAUAACAACAACCAGUAGCUCUGUAACCUUGUAAUUUUGUUUCUUCUCCAUGUCCACAAGGUACAGAAAUACUAAGCGAUUAAGCCAAUAUUAAGAACUGAAAUCUAGUAAACAGUUGAAGCCUUGUCUGGAUUCUAGAUACAGUGCUAUUCAGUAAAAUUUUCUGUGGUUUGGAAAAAUUUUCUAUCUUCAC